UGGGGAAUUUUGGACAAUGGGCGAAAGCCUGAUCCAGCAAUGCCGCGUGUGUGAAGAAGGCCUUCGGGUUGUAAAGCACUUUUGUCCGGAAAGAAAUCCUUGGCUCUAAUACAGUCGGGGGAUGACGGUACCGGAAGAAUAAGCACCGGCUAACUACGUGCCAGCAGCCGCGGUAAUACGUAGGGUGCAAGCGUUAAUCGGAAUUACUGGGCGUAAAGCGUGCGCAGGCGGUUUGCUAAGACCGAUGUGAAAUCCCCGGGCUCAACCUGGGAACUGCAUUGGUGACUGGCAGGCUAGAGUAUGGCAGAGGGGGGUAGAAUUCCACGUGUAGCAGUGAAAUGCGUAGAGAUGUGGAGGAAUACCGAUGGCGAAGGCAGCCCCCUGGGCCAAUACUGACGCUCAUGCACGAAAGCGUGGGGAGCAAACAGGAUUAGAUACCCUGGUAGUCCCACGCCCUAAACGAUGUCAACUAGUUGUUGGGGAUUCAUUCCUUAGUAACGUAGCUAACGCGUGAAGUUGACCGCCUGGGGAGUACGGUCGCAAGAUUAAAACUCAAAGGAAUUGACGGGGUCAUAGCUGUUUCCU
rnacentral:rRNA from 1 species